CUGCUCGAUAGCCCUGUAACAUGGAGAGCUGAUCACACGCAUAUAUUUGUCUUGUGUUUAUUCCACCAUUUAACAGGUAGAAGUGCCCAGAAUGACUCACGCACACAUACCGAUUCUGGACCUGCGGAUGAAAUGUUGCUCCGUUUUACAAUGUCUCACUGUGGCGGGAAGAAGCACUAAAUGAGCUCUAAGUCGGGGACAUCAUUGAGCUCAGUCACCUAAAAAUAAACACAAGACCAGAUGGAAGAGGAAAAUUUGACUUAUCCAAUCACACAACUUUUAAGCUUAUUGAUAGGCAUAUCCAGGAGGCAGUUCUUGAGAUCAUUGCAGUGUUAGAAAUGCCCAAUAAGCUCAUCCUCCUGGACAGCCAUAUGGAUGAAUACAUAGUGCCUGUACAUUUCUAUGCAGGUGGGAAAGGGCCGUCAUUGCAGCUUGCACCUAUGGUAUAUGGUGUCCUCCACUAUUCAGAGGACUUUGUGGGUUUGAGAGAGGUCUCGGGUCUGUUGGGAGCAAAUUGUGGCGACUGACUUUUUUCCUCCUCCGUGUUUCCUCUGUUGUUGUUGUUUUCCACUUUGGUGCUUCCACACACGUUGUUUCUUCUAUCAUUAAACCACGGAGAAGCACCACUCUGUCGCAAGUUUAAUAACAUUAAACGGAAUGCCACAAUAAAUCUGAUCUGCCUGUUUAUAUGACAGUCACAUUGUCACACAUCCGAAGGACAUAUGAAGGAGGCCUGAAACCGAUCUCUGAAUAUCCAAAUGUAUGUUUUUUUUUUUGUGCGUUUACACGGUCAUAGAACAGAUCUGAUCUGUGUUGCAUAUGAGCAAAAAAUAGGAAUAUACCCUUCGCCAAGCCCCGCCAUCCUUAGUUACUGUUGCUACGCCUGUCAAGCUUUUGUGCCUGGCACGGAUUUCUCAAUGUGUGUGCGCCGGUUUCAGACAUUGCCAGUGAUAUAAUAUCAUUUUUGGCGAACAGGUGAGAUAUCCGAGAAAGCCAGGCAAAAAAGGACUGCAGUAUGCAUUACAGGGGUAUAAUCACGUCAUAAUAGGCAACCGAAUAGAGAAUAAUUUAAUCAAAAUUGAAGCUAGCUUAGCCUAGCCGCCUCA